GGUGAACGCUGGCGGCGUGCUUGACACAUGCAAGUCGAACGGUAUGUGGCAACACAUAGAGUGGCGAACGGGUGAGUAACACGUGGGAACGUACCUUCUGCAGGGGGAUAACUGACCGAAAGGACAGCUAAUACCGCAUAAGACCGAGAGGAGAAAGGUGCAACAGCAUCGGCAGAGGAGCGGCCCGCGGACCAUCAGCUAGUUGGUGGGGUAAGAGCCUACCAAGGCAACGACGGAUAGCCGGCGUGAGAGCGUGGCCGGCCACAAGGACACUGAGAUACGGGUCCUACUCCUACGGGAGGCAGCAGUGCGGAAUUUUAGAUAAUGGAGGCAACUCUGAUCUAGCGACGCCGCGUGCAGGAAGAAGGUCUUCGGAUUGUAAACUGCUGUGGUAAGGGAAAAAUGCCAUGUAGAGUGGAAAGCUACAUGGAGGGAUGGUACUUUACUAGAAAGCCCCGGCUAACUACGUGCCAGCAGCCGCGGUAAUACGUAGGGGGCGAGCGUUACCCGGAAUCACUGGGCGUAAAGGGAGCGUAGGUGGCCUGACAUGUCGACUGUGAAAACCCGGAGCUCAACUCCGGACUUGCAGUUGAAACUGCCAGGCUUGAGGACGGUAGAGGAAGACGGAACUGCCAGUGUAGGGGUAAAAUCCUUAGAUAUUGGCAGGAACGCCGGUGACGAAGGUGGUUUUCUGGGCCGGUUCUGACACUGAUGCUCGAAAGCCAGGGGAGCGAACG
rnacentral:rRNA from 1 species